GUAGCCUAGUGGUUAGAGUGGAGGGACGGCAGGUAGCCAAGUGGUUAGAGUGGAGGGACGGCAGGUAGCCUAGUGGUUAGAGUGUAGGGGAGGCAGGUAGCCUAGUGGUUAGAGUGUAGGGACGGCAGGUAGCCUAGUGGUUAGGGUGUAGGGACGGCAGGUAGCCUAGUGGUUAGAGUGUAGGGACGGCAGGUAGCCUAGUGGUUAGAGUGUAGGGACGGCAGGUAGCCUAGUGGUUAGAGUGUAGAGGCGGCAGGUAGCCUAGUGGUUAGAGUGUAGGGACGGCAGGUAGCCUAGUGGUUAGAGUGUAGGGACGGCAGGUAGCCUAGUGGUUAGAGUGUAGGGACGGCAGGUAGCCUAGUGGUUAGAGUGUAGGGACGGCAGGUAGCCUA
rnacentral:lncRNA from 1 species